AGGCGAAGCACGUCGUUCAUUUCGGCUAAUUUCUUUUAGCUGAACGUGACGAGGUGAGGGUCCCUGACAUCAAAUUAUAAAUCUGAAAAAGAAAUAAAUGUGUCGAUUUAAUAUCAAGUAACUGCGACUUUGCACAUUUUCGAUGGAUUAUCCUGGAAUGGACCUACCCACCCGAGUUGGGAGACACUGCAGAUGUGGUCGAAACACAGAGGAUAACGGGUGACUUGUUCAGGCCAAGAAUGAUCUGGAACAUUCUCCUCUGUCGUCCCGUGACGCAGGUCUGACGGGACUCCUCGCAGAGCGCCCAGUUGUCCGGAAACUGCGCGGAGGACAAGAUUGCAGAUGCAAGCGGGCCAAGUGAUUGGGCACCUUUGGGUGGCAAUUGUUCCCCAAUUUCAUCCAAUGGGGAUGUUAGUCCUAAUUUGUUGUUGAGUUGUGCUCAAAAUUCUUUGAACCAGUCUCCCACAAAACAAAUGUUUUUGAAAGUUUGAGAUUUGUUGGAUACGUUUAAAAAAAUAUUGUAAGUCCUUUUUGUUUAGUCCGACAUGAUGACUCCAUUAAAGGUUAAACACCUUUUGAACACAACUGGAAAAUGUUCAGUUUUGUUAAAAUUCAUAAAUGAAAUACUGGAUUUUAAUGCACCCGUUUGAUGUUGACACUGUUCGUUUCAUUAAUGAAAUCCCAUCUAAUUUCAAGUUAAUAAAAUGCAAAUAACUGCAGUGUUUCUUGAUCGCUUUCCUGCAAAUUAACAUUCACAUGACUAGUAGUGUAGUCUUCAACACAAUGAAACGUGAGGUACAUUUUAAAUUGUUUUGUGUAAUGAAAAAUACACAUUUAAAAAAAGUUGCGCGACACGAGCACCAAAGAUGUUGGCGGUUUUUGGUUAACAAGCUCAAUUUAAUACAUGUCAGCCACACCCUUUUUCUAAUAAAUAUACCUUGAAGAUAACCUUUGCCAGGAGAAAAUGUUGAAGCAGAUAAACAGCAAACCUGCCUAAGACAUUGUGCUACGUGAAUGUAGUAUCCUUAGUAUGCUUGUUCAAAAAUGGGCUCAUUGUUCAUAUACAGUACCCCAUUAUCCUUUCAUGCACAUAGUGUAUCACAAAAGUGAGUACACCCCUUGCAUUUAGAUCUUUUCAUGAGACAACACUGACAAAAUGACACUUUGACACAAUGAAAAGUAGUCUGUGUGCAACUUGUAUAAUUUAUUUCCCCCUCAAAAUAACUCAAAAUAUAGGCAUUAAUAUCUAAACAC